rnacentral:rRNA from 1 species
CCUACGGGUGGCAGCAGUCGAGAAUUUUUCUCAAUGGGCGCAAGCCUGAAGGAGCGACGCCGCGUGGGGGAUGAAGGGUUUCGAUCCGUAAACCCCUGUCAUUUGUGAACAAGGUUCACUCAAUAACACUGGGUGAAUUGAUAGUAAUGAAAGAGGAAGGGACGGCUAACUCUGUGCCAGCAGCCGCGGUAAUACAGAGGUCCCGAGCGUUGUUCGGAUUCACUGGGCGUAAAGGGUGCGUAGGUGGCAUGGCAAGUUUGAUGUGAAAGCUCAGGGCUUAACCCUGAAAUGGCAUUGAAUACUGCUGUGCUGGAGGUUUGGAGGGGGGACUGGAAUUCUCGGUGUAGCAGUGAAAUGCGUAGAUAUCGAGAGGAACACCAGUGGCGAAGGCGAGUCCCUGGACAACACCUGACACUGAGGCACGAAAGCCGGGGGAGCAA